rnacentral:rRNA from 1 species
UACGUAGGUGGCAAGCGUUGUCCGGAUUUACUGGGCGUAAAGCAUGCGUAGGCGGAUAUGUAAGUCAGGUGUGAAAUACCCGGGCUUAACUUGGGUGCUGCAUUUGAAACUGCAUAUCUAGAGUGCGGGAGAGGUAAGUGGAAUUCCUAGUGUAGCGGUGAAAUGCGUAGAGAUUAGGAAGAACACCAGUGGCGAAGGCGACUUACUGGACCGUAACUGACGCUGAGGCAUGAAAGCGUGGGGAGCAAACGGG